CUGACACUUAUUGUACAGACAUUAAUAGAGACAGGGUCUCACUCUGUUGCUGAGGCUGUAGUGAAGUGGCAGAAUCAUAGCUCUCUGCAACCUUGCACUCCUGGGCUCAAGCAAUCCUGAUACCUCAGCCUCUCGAGUAGCUGGGACUAUAGGAAUACGCCACUGUACCUGGCACUCCAUAUUUUUCUAAAUGUUUGUUUCAGAUGAUGUUCUACCCAUAACGUACUCACUCAGUACCACAAAUUACUAUUUGAUAUUUUGUUUUCACAUUAAAAUUGUCUUUAUGAAAAACAAAUAGAACUGAAUUUUGUCAAGUCUUAAAAGUGAUCUCUAGAAUGCCUCUGUAUUCCAUUUGCAAAUAUGUACUACCAAGACUUUAUUUUGAGAAUUGUACUAUGAAAGCCUUUACAUGCGGUUGUCAAAGCGGUAAAUGAAAUAGGAUGUGCAGAAAAAGAAAACAUAAUAAUAGUAAUAAUAAUAAUAACAACAGCUCAAAGAGAGGUCUGGUCUUCGUUUUUAGUUACUUGGAAGUAACUUCUAAACACUUGGAAUUUUGAGAGUGAUUGGAAUGUCUUUGUUAUUCAUGGUAAUCCCCUCGUACCACAUCUGAUAAUUAAUGCCAAUGAGAUGACUCAGAAAGGAGCAAGCCAUGCCAGAAAGACAAAACGUAUGAUUGUAGUUUUGUCUAGUUUUGGAGUUUGGGGCCAAGUGAUAUCAGCCUCACCUCCCAGGAUUGGGGUGCUAGAGAUCAAGCUCAACUGUGUGGAUGCUGAUUCCAUUAAUCCUGACUAUGUAAUGAAACCCCAAUAAAAUCACUAGCCCCUAGAGACUCUGAUGAGCUUUCUGGGUUGCCAAUACUCUGGUCAUAUUGUCACACAUCUAUCUAUUUGUAGAGCUUAAUGCACGCCUGAUGCAAAGAGAGAUUCAAGUUUUGGGAUCCUCCCAGUUUCCAUCCUACGCAUUUUUUUCUUUAGAUGGUUCUAAUUUGUAUCCUUUGCUAUAAUAAAACUGUAAUUGUA
rnacentral:lncRNA from 10 species